rnacentral:rRNA from 1 species
AGAGUUUGAUCAUGGCUCAGAAUCAACGCUGGCGGCGCGCCUAACACAUGCAAGUCGAACGAGAAAGCAGGAGCAAUCUUGUGAGUAAAGUGGCGUACGGGUGAGUAACACGUGGAUCAUCUACCCUCUUGUGGGGGAUAACUCUGGGAAACCGGAGCUAAUACCGCAUAAGUCCGAGAGGAGAAAGCAGCAAUGCGCAGGAGGAGGAGUCCGCGGCCGAUUAGCUAGUUGGUAGGGUAAAAAGCCUACCAAGGCUACGAUCGGUAGCCGGCCUGAGAGGGCACACGGCCACACUGGCACUGAAACACGGGCCAGACUCCUACGGGAGGCAGCAGUGGGGAAUCUUGCACAAUGGGGGCAACCCUGAUGCAGCGACGCCGCGUGAGCGAUGAAGCCCUUCGGGGUGUAAAGCUCUUUCGGCAGGGAAGAUUAUGACGGUACCUGCAGAAGCAGCUGCGGCUAACUACGUGCCAGCAGCCGCGGUAAUACGUAGGCAGCGAGCGUUGUUCGGAGUUACUGGGCGUAAAGGGUGUGUAGGCGGUCUUCUAAGUCUGGUGUGAAAUCUCCCGGCUCAACUGGGAGGGUGCGCCGGAAACUGGAAGGCUAGAGUGCGGGAUGGGGAGAGUGGAAUUCCUGGUGUAGCGGUGAAAUGCGUAGAUAUCAGGAGGAACACCUGUGGUGUAGACGGCUCUCUGGACCGCAACUGACGCUGAGACACGAAAGCGUGGGUAGCAAACAGGAUUAGAUACCCUAGUAGUCC